GUCGCCGUUUACGGAUCCCAUAGGAAUGAAUGAGAAGUGCCGUAAACUGAAUCCCAGCUGUCGCAAAAAUCAGUGACUUCUCUUAUAAAACAGCAUUUUUUUCAUGGUAAACUCAAAAAAUAGUU